AUGUCCCUCUUGGAGCUGUGUUCCCUGGGAUGGGAAAUUCAACUCGAAGUGGCUGUGGGGUGGGAAUCCCACAUCCUGGGGACUAAUCUGAUGAACCUCCAUUACAAUCCUUCUGUGGCAAUGAUUUGGAGAUGCCAGUGUUGGACUUGGGCGAACAAAGUUAAACAUCACACAACUACCUGAUGAAGGAGCAGCACUCCGAAAGCUAGUGCUUCCAAUUAAACAUGCUGGAUUUUAA